rnacentral:siRNA from 1 species
CCCUUAUCUACACAAUCACCAUC